UUAGGAAUCUUGGGCAAUGGGCGCAAGCCUGACCCAGCCAUGCCGCGUGUGUGAAGAAGGCCUUCGGGUUGUAAAGCACUUUCAGCGGUGAAGAAAAGCUCAGGGCUAAUACCCCUCGAGUCUUGACGUUAACCACAGAAGAAGCACCGGCUAACUCCGUGCCAGCAGCCGCGGUAAUACGGAGGGUGCGAACGUUAAUCGGAAUCACUGGGCGUAAAGCGCGCGUAGGCGGUCUGUUAAGUGGGAUGUGAAAUCCCCGGGCUUAACCUGGGAAUUGCAUUCCAAACUGGCCGACUAGAGUACGGUAGAGGGAGGUAGAAUUUCCUGUGUAGCGGUGAAAUGCGUAGAUAUAGGAAGGAAUACCAGUGGCGAAGGCGGCCUCCUGGAUCGAUACUGACGCUGAGGUGCGAAAGCGUGGGGAGCAAACAGGAUUAGAUACCCCCGUAGUCC
rnacentral:rRNA from 1 species